GGGGACGCAUUGGCUUCGAUUGCCGAAUGGGUUGUUUGAAAAGCAUGCAUGGUAGCCUCCAUAAAAGGCAAUCUGUAUAACUGCAGAAAACGAAACUUACGCUCUCGCUGCUUAAUCGCUAGCGAAGGCAAACCGGCUUCGGCCGGUACGGAUUAUGCUCUGAGUCUGCGGAAGGCAUAAUCUUAACCUACAGCAGAAUAGCGGGGGUAUUUGCGGCGCGUACCCUGGCGAAGUUAAGUCGCUAAGCGAGUGAAUGGCCUGUCGUUGGGCUAUCGCGAGCCGAAAAAACAAACACCGACUAAGCAUGUAGAAAGCGAAUGAUUCGGCGGUAAGACGCGGGUUCGACUCCCGCCGUCUCCAA
rnacentral:tmRNA from 1 species